GCGCUUUUAGCUCAGUUGGUAGAGCACCUGACUCUUAAUCAGGGUGCCCAGGGUUCGAGUCCCUGAAGGCGCACCA
rnacentral:tRNA from 4 species